rnacentral:rRNA from 1 species
CCCCUAGAUGUUCUGGGCCGCACGCGCGCUACACUGAACAGUUCAACAAGUCUUAACCUUGGCCGAUAGGUCUGGGUAAUCUUUGAACGCUGUUCGUGAUUGGGAUAGACCUUUGCAAUUAUGGGUCUUCAACGAGGAAUUCCUAGUAAACGCAAGUCAUCAGCUUGCAUUGAUUCGUCCCUGCCCUUUGUACACACCGCCCGUCGCACCUACCGAUUGAAUGGUCCGGUGAAAUCUCGGGACGGCGGCUUGGUCGCUUGCGUCCGACUGCUGAAACUUGAUUAAACCAUAUCAUUUAGAGGAAGGUGAAGUCGUAACA